rnacentral:rRNA from 1 species
UACGUAGGUCCCGAGCGUUGUCCGGAUUUAUUGGGCGUAAAGGGCGUGUAGCCGGGCUGACAAGUCAGAUGUGAAAUCCGGGGGCUCAACCCCCGAACUGCAUUUGAAACUGUUGGUCUUGAGUAUCGGAGAGGCAGGCGGAAUUCCUAGUGUAGCGGUGAAAUGCGUAGAUAUUAGGAGGAACACCAGUGGCGAAGGCGGCCUGCUGGACGACAACUGACGGUGAGGCGCGAAAGCGUGGGGAGCAAACAGG